ACGGGAGGCAGCAGUGGGGAAUAUUGCACAAUGGGCGCAAGCCUGAUGCAGCAACGCCGCGUGAGGGAAGACGGUUUUCGGAUUGUAAACCUCUGUUCUUGGUGACGAAGAAGUGACGGUAGCCAAGGAGAAAGCCACGGCUAACUACGUGCCAGCAGCCGCGGUAAUACGUAGGUGGCAAGCGUUGUCCGGAUUUACUGGGUGUAAAGGGAGCGCAGGCGGGACUGCAAGUUGGAUGUGAAAUGCCGCAGCUUAACUGCGGAGCUGCAUCCAAAACUGUAGUUCUUGAGUGAAGUAGAGGUAAGCGGAAUUCCGAGUGUAGCGGUGAAAUGCGUAGAUAUUCGGAGGAACACCAGUGGCGAAGGCGGCUUACUGGGCUUUAACUGACGCUGAGGCUCGAAAGUGUGGGGAGCAAACAGGAUUAGAUACCCUGGUA
rnacentral:rRNA from 1 species